CUGAGUGGCGGACGGGUGAGUAACGCGUGGGUAACCUGCCUUGUACAGGGGGAUAACAGUUGGAAACGACUGCUAAUACCGCAUAAGCGCACAGUACCGCAUGGUACGGUGUGAAAAACUCCGGUGGUACAAGAUGGACCCGUGUCUGAUUAGCUGGUUGGUGAGGUAACGGCCCACCAAGGCGACGAUCAGUAGCCGACUUGAGAGAGUGAUCGGCCACAUUGGGACUGAGACACGGCCCAAACUCCUACGGGAGGCAGCAGUAGGGAAUAUUGCACAAUGGGGGAAACCCUGAUGCAGCGACGCCGCGUGAAGGAAGAAGUAUUUCGGUAUGCAAACUUCUAUCAGCAAGGAAGAAAAUGACGGUACUUGACUAAGAAGCCCCGGCUAAAUACGUGCCAGCAGCCGCGGUAAUACGUAGGGGGCAAGCGUUGUCCGGAAUUACUGGGUGUAAAGGGAGCGCAGGCGGAGAAGCAAGUCAGUGGUGAAAACGAUGGGCUUAACUCAUCGACUGCCAUUGAAACUGUUUCCCUUGAGUGAAGUAGAGGCAGGCGGAAUUCCGAGUGUAGCGGUGAAAUGCGUAGAUAUUCGGAGGAACACCAGUGGCGAAGGCGGCCUGCUGGGCUUUAACUGACGCUGAGGCUCGAAAGUGUGGGGAGCAAACAGGAUUAGAUACCCUGGUAGUCCACACUGUAAACGAUGAUUGCUAGGUGUGGGGGGUCUGACCCCUUCCGUGCCGGAGUUAACGCAAUAAGUAAUCCACCUGGGGAGUACGACCGCAAGGUUGAAACUCAAAGGAAUUGACGGGGGCCCGCACAAGCAGUGGAGUAUGUGGUUUAAUUCGAAGCAACGCGAAGAACCUUACCAGGUCUUGACAUCCGAUGCAUAGCACAGAGAUGUGUGAAAUCCUUCGGGACAUCGAGACAGGUGGUGCAUGGUUGUCGUCAGCUCGUGUCGUGAGAUGUUGGGUUAAGUCCCGCAACGAGCGCAACCCUUAUUGCCAGUUACUACGUUAAGAGGACUCUGGCGAGACUGCCGUUGACAAAACGGAGGAAGGUGGGGAUGACGUCAAAUCAUCAUGCCCUUUAUGACCUGGGCUACACACGUACUACAAUGGCGUUAAACAAAGAGAAGCAAGACCGCGAGGUGGAGCAAAACUCAAAAACAACGUCUCAGUUCAGAUUGCAGGCUGCAACUCGCCUGCAUGAAGUCGGAAUUGCUAGUAAUCGCGGAUCAGCAUGCCGCGGUGAAUACGAACCCGGGCCUUGCACUCACCGCCCGUCA
rnacentral:rRNA from 1 species